UACAGAGGGUGCGAGCGUUAAUCGGAAUUACUGGGCGUAAAGCGUGCGUAGACGGUUUCGUAAGUCGGGUGUGAAAUCCCCAGGCUCAACUUGGGAACUGCGUCUGAUACUGGUUGGCUUGAAUUCGGGAGAGGGAUGCAGAAUUCCAGGUGUAGCGGUGAAAUGCGUAGAUAUCUGGAGGAAUACCGGUGGCGAAGGCGGCAUCCUGGACCGAGAUUGACACUGAUGAGCGAAAGCCAGGGGAGCAAACGGG
rnacentral:rRNA from 1 species